rnacentral:tRNA from 1 species
AAAGGGAGACCUAAUUCAGGUAAGAGACGAAAAAAAAGUAGUCGCUACCAAGAAUCAAUCCCAAAAGGUCGGAGCGAGGCGAAAUUGGCUUUCAAACUAGGUUCUGGGUUCACACAAGACCUGAAUCAGGAACAAGGGCUAUUAGCUCAGGUGGUUAGAGCGCACCCCUGAUAAGGGUGAGGUCCCUGGUUCGAGUCCAGGAUGGCCCACCUGCACAGGUGGCAAAAACAAGAGAAGCUCCGAAUCAGCACCUUAUCUUACUGACAUAGUAAGAGAGAAUGCUGGCUCUGAGUAAAGAGUCCAGAGGAACCUUGAAAACUGCAUAGAGCUAGGUGAAAAAGCCAAAAAAGAAGACCGCAAG